rnacentral:misc_RNA from 1 species
AUACCAGUAUUACAUAAGUCUUGAAGAAAAAAUGGUGAUUGAGACAACUCUUCAGUGCGUUUUGGAAGCGGGUGGUGCUGGGUCGAUACACAGAGAAGGUAGCAUGGAGCGAUUCUCUACCGAGUCUUCGAGCGAUGGGAGCAGCUUCAUGAUUGAAGAUCAUCUUCCCUUCGGAGAGGUUUCGACAGUCGAAGACGAAACGAACUCGAGCGAGUUGAGCGAGUUUACUGAGAAUGGACUACUCACGCUGAGCUUAAACGAGUUUGUGCUCAACGAGUCACCUUGUGCAGGUAGAGAUUCGCAAGAAGAAUUAAAUUACGGACUCUCUGAGUUUGGCCUUCCAAAUACUACCUCCCUAGAAUGUUUUGAGCUUGGUCUCGGCGAGUGUACUCAAGAGCUUAGUGAGAACAAAGACUUGUUCAGCAGUGACUUGUUCACCCCCGGUAAGAAUGAUGUCUCGAAUAUCCAAAGUGACCAGGCAGAAGAAGUGAGCAUGAGUAAAGGGGACUCAUUGAAUCUCACAGACUGCCUGAACUCAGACAGGGGCUUUGAAAAACCAGACCAAACUGAAAUCAAGACUUCUCUUCCCAAAAUGAUGGAACUUGUCGAUUUCAUUUUGAAUAUGGAAGGCAUUAAAGAUUUCUACUCGGCAUCCAAAAUGACGGACGAAAUUAUGGAAGAAAUUGUAGAAAAUGCUAUAUCAGCAAGUGAGGCCUCGGGAUCAUCUUGUGCAAGCAGUCCAUCGACGGGGGAGGUGUUGCAUUGUCCGGAUACACCCUGUGGUCAAGAUUCAAAUUAUUCCAAAAAAAAUCGUUCCAUUAAAAGUGUAGUCUCCAAAGCGAAGGAUCCUAGUACAAAAUCGAGCUUUCUGCCUCCCUGUAGGGUGUGUGGCGACAACGCCUCGGGUUUUCAUUAUGGAGCUAACACGUGCGAAGCAUGCAAGGUAAGCGUUUGGGCGCAGAGAGUGAUUAUACAUAUAUAUGAAAAUGAAAAGCUUAAAUGACGUUUUUUUCAAAUGAUUUUACUAAGAUAACCAAAAAAAAAACCAACGAAAAUAAAAAGGUUAGUAUCUUUUAUAGCAACCAUUUUUUACGUAUGAUUUUUAUUCAUUCACGAGGCUGUUGCUGCGGCAGAAAUUCUGUAAAGUAAAUUAAAGUAAACAGUUUUUGACAUCAGUUUGUUGAACACGCAUGUCAUUAUUGCCAUGUGCAUAAAUCAAAUCUUCAGUAAGAAAUCAUUUUGAAACGAGUUCCAUUUUGAUUCUGUUUAAAAAAAAAAACCACCCGAAGUUUCGCUUACAGCUGUGUUUUGUCCCAGUUUCAUGGAGUAAGUCUAAUUUUAAGACGUUUUCACUUGGUGUCACAGGGGUUCUUUAGAAGGAGCAUCGUCAAGAUUCAACAAAACAAGGAGUCCUACAAAUGCAUUGGUAAAGGUGAAGGCUGUGUUUUGGGUCCAGGAAAAAGAAACCCCUGCGCGGCCUGUCGAUACGCCAGGUGUCUCGAAGUGGGCAUGUCCAUUGGAGGUAGCAGUCAAGACCUCCUCUCAAACCUUUCUUAUUUUUUUUUCUUCCGAAAUGAUUGCACUUCAUGAAGUGAUAAAUUAUGAAAUGAAUUCCUAAAUUAUAACAUCGAUUGCAGACGACUGAAAAACGGAGAUGAUCAUGUUUAUAAAAAGAAUUUAAAAAAAAGACCAAUUGACAACUAUGCAGUAUUCAUCUCUUUAUCUAUGCAGACCAUUACCCGAUUAUUGACCUUAAUUUUUUGUUUUCCCAGCAAUUAAGACCGGACGCUACACGUAUGAGAAGAGAACAAAAGACACGGUCGAGGUCCGAAAAAUGAAAGUAGCGGAGAAACCGCGCCAAAUGGAGACGUAUAUAAGCGACUCAGAGGUGGACCAAAUCAUCCAGUCUCUUAAGGAGGUGCUGCUGAAGAGCUGUCCCGAGGCCCACACUAUCUUUGAUAGAGAAACAAACCUUAACAGGCAGUGGCAAAUAUAUAAUGAAUACAAGGCGAAGGUAGAAAUAUUUGGCACCAUGUCUGUGAUUCCAAAAGAAGUCUGGGAUGAAUUUUACAAGGAGACUGGAAUCGACUUGGACAACAGGCAAGAUCUGAUGAAAGAAAUGGCGUGCAGGAUGGAGCAUGGGCUGACUAUGAUGGUCGAUUUUGUCCGAACUAUUCCGGGUUUUGCCGAUUUGUCCGUCUCGGACCAAACGGAACUAAUAAAGGCAUCUCAUUUCGAAUUUUUCUUCUUGAUGCUCCAUAAAAGUUUUAAUCCCGAAUUACGAGUUGUGUCAGGAAUGAUUGGUUUGCACGAAUCUGAAAUUAACAAAGUAGCAGAAAAGGAAGCCAUCGAAAAUUUAUUCCAGUUCAGUACCUCUCUCAAAAACCUCGACUUGGCAUUUGAUGAGAUAAUACUUGUUCGGGGCAUUUGUGUAACCUUUGCAGAUCGAUGCCAAUUAGAGGACCCCAAAGCAGUGGAACAGAUUCAGUGGCGACUCAUCAACGCACUAAGAGUGCUGGCUAAACGCAAAAACUACAGACCAGAACAAAGGUUGUGGCACAUACUGGACCGACUAACGGCUCUGAGGACUAUGACUGAAAUAAGCAAGGAAUUGGACAAACAAAAGUGUUCAUGGCCUGUCAUGAAAGAACAUCCACUUGUUCUAGAUAUUCUGCAGAGCUGAUGAAGUGCUUGUUGGUUUUUUUUUUCAAAAGUUCGGUAUGAAAAACGCAUAUACGCAAAUGUCAGUUUGAGCCAGUACAAGGCUACUUAAAUGAGCCUUAAAAGUUGUGCCGAUUCCGUGAAUGGAUUCCGCGCAUGUGAUAUCGGCAUUCGCUCAAGGAGUGCAGCUACAUCCGGGUGUCUUUCGUCAUUGGUGUGACGCUAUGUUGCGUGUGAAUACUGGUCAGUGAGAAUAUUUGUUUUCAAAUUCAGUACGAAGGGUGCGUUUAGAGUGUUUAAUGCUAUCAUGAAGUUGGUAUAUGUCAAGAAAGUUGUUACAAACGGCUCUUGAAAUCCAGAAGAACGUUUAUGGAGUUAAUAUACAUUUGAAGAUCACACCAUCAAAACCAACAAUAAUUCCAGCUAUACCAUGCCGUGUUGUUAUCCGGAAAUAUUGUGUUACAUUAAUAUAUCUAUGCAUUUUCAUGGACAUGAUAUCUACCUGUUGUCUUGUCAUUUCUUGUAAAUAAGCGUAAAAGAAAAGCCAUUGUUUUCAUUAUUUAUACUUUGAUAUUUUGUUGAACUAUAAAUAUUAUUUUGGAUAACUUUACAUUCCAGAUACAUGUACAUACAUGUAUAUAUAUAUAUAUAACACUGAGCUGAUGUUUUGUGUUAAUAAAUAAUUAUUUUUAUGAUGACAUUUUAUAUUAUAGUGUUUUCCUUUUUAGUUCUCUUGUGAAAUAUCGCAUUCAAAGAACAAUU